AGGCUUUGUGGACCAAGGGGAUUAGCGUUGUUUUCCCAAGACAAGUUAUAUGUGUAUGAUCUUCAGGCUUUGCCUAUCCAGGUUGAGCUGAUGUGAUGAUGGUGCUGCAAUGAGCGGAGUUUCCAGGGUUGUUAAUAAAUAGUUAACCUGUCUAGAAUAUGUCUUCAUACAUAUGUCUGGCUACUUUCCGCUGCAAGAUGUUGUUGAUGUUAUAGUAUGUUAUGUCAUACUUUGAGUCUUAAGAGAAUGGUUUCAUAUGAUGUAUAACUUGAUUAAUGAUAUUAAUUAAGUUUUAUGCUGUCUUUCAUAGACUAUUUUCAAUUGAGUAUUCAUGAAUAAAAAUGACGAGUUUUAUUAA